GUGGGUAUAGUUCAGUGGUAGAACACAUGCUUAGCAUGCACGGGGUCCUGGGUUCAAUCCCCAGGACCUCCA
rnacentral:tRNA from 1 species